UGGGGAAUAUUGGACAAUGGGCGCAAGCCUGAUCCAGCAAUGCCGCGUGGAUGAAGAAGGUCUUCGGAUUGUAAAGUCCUUUCGGCGGGGACGAUGAUGACGGUACCCGCAGAAGAAGGCCCGGCUAACUUCGUGCCAGCAGCCGCGGUAAUACGAAGGGGGCUAGCGUUGCUCGGAAUGACUGGGCGUAAAGGGCGCGUAGGCGGUUUUCGCAGUCAGAUGUGAAAUUCCUGGGCUUAACCUGGGGGCCGCAUUUGAGACGCGGAGGCUAGAGUGGGGAAGAGGGUCGUGGAAUUCCCAGUGUAGAGGUGAAAUUCGUAGAUAUUGGGAAGAACACCGGUGGCGAAGGCGGCGACCUGGUCCUUGACUGACGCUGAGGCGCGAAAGCGUGGGGAGCAAACAGGAUUAGAUACCCUGGUAGUCCACGCUGUAAACGAUGUGCGCUGGAUGUUGGCGGCCCUAGGCUGUCAGUGUCGUAGCUAACGCGGUAAGCGCACCGCCUGGGGAGUACGGCCGC
rnacentral:rRNA from 1 species